CAGGUGGCAUCUUUUAUCAAAAAGCUGAAUAACCUAUUGUGAUAUGUAUAUUAAUUUGUCUUAUUUUUUUUAUUUUUUUUUUAUUGUUGUUUUUUUUUUUUUAAAUUAUAUUGUUUUUUAUUUUGUUUUUUUUUAAUGUUACCUUUGUAUUAUAAAUCAUGUUUACCAUUGUAUAUAUGUACCUCAUGUUACACAUUUAUGUGUCUGAGCGUUGCUUUACAAUAAAAUCUUGAAA
rnacentral:lncRNA from 1 species